rnacentral:sRNA from 1 species
GUGUAUUUGCUGCUGCUUCCUCCUUUGGCUCAUUUUGACCCUGUCUGCAGCUGUGAAGUUGUCCUGUGCCUACUCGGGCUUUUCUUCUCCCCGUGUGGAGUGGAAGUUUGACCAAGGAGACACCACCAGACUCGUUUGCUAUAAUAACAAGAUCACAGCUUCCUAUGAGGACCGGGUGACCUUCUUGCCAACUGGUAUCACCUUCAAGUCCGUGACACGGGAAGACACUGGGACAUACACUUGUAUGGUCUCUGAGGAAGGCGGCAACAGCUAUGGGGAGGUCAAGGUCAAGCUCAUCGUGCUUGUGCCUCCAUCCAAGCCUACAGUUAACAUCCCCUCCUCUGCCACCAUUGGGAACCGGGCAGUGCUGACAUGCUCAGAACAAGAUGGUUCCCCACCUUCUGAAUACACCUGGUUCAAAGAUGGGAUAGUGAUGCCUACGAAUCCCAAAAGCACCCGUGCCUUCAGCAACUCUUCCUAUGUCCUGAAUCCCACAACAGGAGAGCUGGUCUUUGAUCCCCUGUCAGCCUCUGAUACUGGAGAAUACAGCUGUGAGGCACGGAAUGGGUAUGGGACA